GUUACCUUCGGGUAAUGAGGAUGGCGGACGGGUGAGUAACGCGUAAGGAACUUGCCUCUUGGACUGGGACAACUGUUGGAAACGACAGCUAAUACCAGAUAUUAUGAGAUUCUCGCAUGAGAAAUUUAUGAAAGCUAUAUGCGCCAAGAGAGAGCCUUGCGUUCCAUUAGCUAGUUGGUGGGGUAACGGCCCACCAAGGCGACGAUGGAUAGCCGGCCUGAGAGGGUGAACGGCCACAAGGGGACUGAGACACGGCCCUUACUCCUACGGGAGGCAGCAGUGGGGAAUAUUGGACAAUGGGCCACAAGCCUGAUCCAGCAAUUCUGUGUGCACGAUGAAGGUCUUCGGAUUGUAAAGUGCUUUCAGUUGGGAAGAAGAAAGUGACGGUACCAACAGAAGAAGCGACGGCUAAAUACGUGCCAGCAGCCGCGGUAAUACGUAUGUCGCAAGCGUUAUCCGGAUUUAUUGGGCGUAAAGCGCGUCUAGGGCGGAAAAAUAAGUCUGAUGUUAAAAUGCGGGGCUCAACUCCGUAUUGCGUUGGAAACUGUUUUUCUAGAGUACUGGAGAGGUGGGCGGAACUACAAGUGUAGAGGUGAAAUUCGUA
rnacentral:rRNA from 1 species